UACGGAGGGUGCAAGCGUUAUCCGGAUUUACUGGGUUUAAAGGGUGCGCAGGCGGAUAUGUAAGUCAGUGGUGAGAUCUUUGGGCUUAACCCGAAAAUUGCCAUUGAUACUAUAUAUCUUGAAUGCUGUGGAGGUAAGCGGAAUAUGUCAUGUAGCGGUGAAAUGCUUAGAGAUGACAUAGAACACCUAUUGCGAAGGCAGCUUACUACGCAGAUAUUGACGCUCAUGCACGAAAGCGUGGGGAUCAAACAGG
rnacentral:rRNA from 1 species